rnacentral:rRNA from 1 species
GACAGAGGGUGCAAACGUUGCUCGGAAUCAUUGGGCGUAAAGCGCACGUAGGCGGUUCGGUAAGUCGGAUGUGAAAGCCCUCGGCUCAACCCAGGAACUGCACUCGAAACUUCUUUUCUUGAGUGCCGGAGAGGAAAGCGGAAUUCCUGGUGUAGAGGUGAAAUUCGUAGAUAUCAGGAGGAACACCAGUGGCGAAGGCGGCUUUCUGGACGGUAACUGACGCUGAGACGCGAAAGCGUGGGGAGCAAACAGG